GCAUCUCUUAGGGGGUAGGAUUUUUGAGCCCAACUUGAUUUUUGUUCCUAAGUGACACCUAAGUCCUAAUUGCUUGGGUUUUUUUUUUUCACCCAGAAGUUUAGAUAACUUUGGUGUAAUGAGGUUGCAGUUUUCCUUUUGUAACAGGUUUGAUCAGAGUUAGCCAUCUAUUUUUGGGGUUUAUUUUGGGCCAAUUACCAAAGGAGUGGAACUCCUUUUUUGUUAGGAAAGGUGAAGGUACAGUUACCAAAGGAGUGGAACUCCUUUUUUGUUAGGAAAGGUGAAGGUACAGUAAUGGUGGAUUUGCACAGCCUCACCAGCAGUGCAGGCACACUACAAGGGGAUGAGGUCUCAGAUUGGUUUAUUU